CUUAUUAAGAUUGUAGAGUAGAAUCUAAAUUUCUAGAAGGGAUAAUUGGUCUAAAGCAUAGGAUUUAUUUUAGGGACCAGGAUUAGAUACCCUGUUACUUUUAAUUAAAUAAUUUUGGAAUAAUAGUUUUUAUGAAAUUUAACGGAUUUGGCGGCAAGAUAGCCCCUUAGAGGAACCUGCCCUGUAAACGAUGAACCACGAGAGACCCUACUUUUUUUGGUGAUCAGUUUGUAUAUCGCUGUUGUCAGUUAGAUUCUUGAGAAUAUUUUCAUUCAUGAUAAGUUCAUUGACUUCAAGUAAAGGUGCAGCUUAUAGAAAAGAUAGAGGUGGGUUACAUUUAUAAGAUUAAAUACGGAUAAGAUGAAUGAAACAUUCUUUGAAGGUGGAUUUAACUGUAAAACUUAAUUAAGUUUGGUGAGAGCUCUAUCUUGUGUACACACCGCCCGUCGCUCUCUUUUUUAA
rnacentral:rRNA from 1 species